rnacentral:rRNA from 1 species
AUGGCGGGGCAAGCACGGUGCUUCGGCGUAGUCGUCAACACGUUCAUGGACCUGGAGAGCGAGUACUGCGACCUGUACGCGCGCCUCGGCCACGUGAAGCGCGCCUACUUCGUCGGCCCAGUGUCGCUGCCGUUGCCACCGGCCGGAGCAAGCGCCGCUGAGUCGCCGUGCAUCCGUUGGCUAGGCUCGAUGCCCAGAUGCUCGGUGGUGUACUUAUGCUUCGGCACCUACGCCUCCAUCUCUGGAGAUCAGCUAUGGGAGCUGGCUCUUGGACUGGAAUCCUCCGGCAAGCCGUUCCUGUGGGUGCUGAGGGCCGAGGGGUGGGAGCCGCCGGCGGGGUGGGAGGAGCGUGUCGGGAAGAGGGGGAUGCUCGUCAGAGGGUGGGCCCCGCAGACCGCAAUCCUGGCUCAUCCGGCCGUGGGGGCGUUCCUGACGCACUGCGGGUCGAGCUCUCUGCUGGAGGCGGCGGCGGCCGGCGUGCCGAUGCUGACGUGGCCGCUGGUGUUCGACCAGUUCAUCGAGGAAAGGCUGGUCACAGACGUUCUCAAGAUUGGCGAGAGGGUGUGGGACGGGCCACGGAGCACGAGGUACGAGCAGCAGCAGACGGUGCCGGCCGCGGCGGUGGCGCGGGCCGUGGCGAGGUUCUUGGAGCCCGGGGGAACAGGGGAGGCGGCGAGGGGUCGAGCGCAGGAGUUCGCCGUGAAGGCUCACGCCGCCGUGGCGGAAGGCGGGUCGUCGUCCUGUGAUCUGCGCAGGCUUAUCGACGACCUGAUGAAAAUAAGGGAGGCCGUCGCCGGCGGCGACACUACUACGUCGCGCGCUGCUGAGAUGUAG